CUACUCACUAUGGACAAGAGAGAAAAGGAAGAGAAUCUAAAAUUAAGAGUAAAUUGAUUCAACAACAAACACAACAACCACAAACUCAGUGAAAUUCCACAUAAGGUCUUCUUCAUAAAUGGGAACUAUGAAAUGUGAGACCUGAAUCUAUUUUUGUGAGGAAGUUGAGCACAAAAGGAUGAAAAGAUCAAUGGAACUUGUGUUUGAAGAAAUUGGCAUGCUUAUUCUUUUAUGAAAGGCCCUAUGGUUAUUUGAUACUUGGCUUGGUAUCAUGGUCCAACUUUUCUUGAAUAUCACAUGCCUUGAGCUGGAACACCUGGCCAAUAUGUAAGAGACACCUUGCCAAGGUCCUAGUCGACGAGGUUCCAGAUUUCGGAAGUAAUCUGAAGGAAUAUCCUCCUAAUUGUGAUUUUGAAGUAUUAGGCAGUGCUAUUCCACAAGCCAGCACGGACAGACCGCGUGAUAACUAGAUCUAGAGAAUACAUAAAUCAAAGGGGUGGUAAUGAUAUGAAAAUAAAGUGAAAAAGACACAUGAAGGAACUAAACGUCCUGUUGAA